GGCGGGGGGUGGGGUGGGAGACAAACCCUGUGGACACAUCCCAGAAAAUGGGAAACUGAAUCACCCAAGGGAUGGCGAGGGCUGACCAGAGGGAGAGAAAGUUCCAAUCCCCUCCAUACACCAACAGCCCCAUUUGGAAAAGAACGGAUUUAACAGACCUCACCAAGACAAGAGUCAUUUUUCACCAAAGAAAAUCAAAGGAACGAACAAGAGGCAAUGGCUACUGGAGACUCCACCUUCUGGUCUAGGAAGACCCAAGCAGACAGUGGCUUCAUCCAUCAAAGCCCCAAGUGUAUCAAAUAUUUACUGAGGCCACAGACUCUUUCCUACCAGAGCCUUAGACUGUCGUGUGCAUCUGAUUGCCCCAAAGACAGACCACUGGGACCUUCAGUGCAGCAUGCCUUUUAUCAUAAAAAGUCUUAGCCAGAAAAAUAGCCACCCCCAGCUUAAUUCCUAGAGGAAUUCAAAUCACUUUGUUAAGAAAAUCCCCAGAGGAGAUUUUAUACUAAGGAGCAUCCCACAAUGCUGCCUGCCAUCUCUAGGUUCUCUAAAAGCAAGCCCAGCCUUGAUGAAAAAAGAGUGCCUGACAUCAGGGGAGUUUGGCUGGAUGGCUGAAGAAAGGAGAACUUUACCCCGAAGCGCAAUGCUCAGAUGUACAAAAGCUCCUGUUUAACUGGAAGAACCUGAUCGGGUGAUCAUCGUCCACAGCCAGUUCCUUCUCUGACUAUCUCCUGAAAUUGCAGAUUGAGUGAGUGCCACCAAUUGCAGCUGCUUUUCCUGAACACUCUGCUCCUGGAGAGUUUGGUCCACAGCAGUAGCUAAAUACGCAUGCAGCGUGUACGUCCUCUCAUGGCCUUCAUCGUUAUUUAUGAACUAACUUCGAAGGGAAGUCAUUUCCAUCCAGAAAACCUGACAUACGCUUUUCCGUACCCACCCAUGCAUAGAGAUAAGAAAACUGUGCUCUUUUACUAUUCUGGCAAGCAGGAGGCAACGUUUUCCAGAUGCCGUUAUGGGCAGCCCCGAGCCAUCCACUGCGUAUCCCAGAAAGCCAAAUGGCCCAAAGCCUCCAUUCCUAAGCCACUCUCCAGUCCCCAAACAUGUCACAAUCUCUCAUACCUCCUGACCUUGGCCCAGGCUGCCUCUUGGUAGAAUGGCCCCACCCCCACCCUGCCCUCACAGCCCCUUCAACCACAAGACCUGGGUCCAGGUCAAAUGGCCCAGAUCCUCCUCUCUAAAUGCUUCCUUCUAAGAAGGAGCCCCUCCCCCUCUACUGUCCAUCCCCUCCAGUAUUGUGGGGGCUCCCUGAGGACAAGGACCAGCCCCUAUUCACAGUGAAUACUGGACGGCAUCACAUGCCCUGGCAUCUGCAGUAGACAGAAGCCAAGACCUUUGUGCCCUGCAAAUCUUCACUGCCAGCUUCAGCUCUUCCAAAAUAAAAGCUGACUUUUAAAAGUAA